rnacentral:rRNA from 1 species
GAACCUGCCCCAAACUCAGGGAUAACAUCUAGAAAUAGGUGCUAAUACCGGAUAGUCCCGCAAGGGUAAAGAUUUUUCGGUUUGGGAGGGGCCUGCGUACUAUCAGCUAGUUGGUAAGGUAAUGGCUUACCAAGGCUAUGACGGUUAACUGGUCUGAGAGGAUGAUCAGUCGCGAUGGGACUGAGACACGGCCCAUACUCCUACGGGAGGCAGCAGUAAGGAAUCUUCCACAAUGGACGAAAGUCUGAUGGAGCAACACCGCGUGAUCGAUGAAGCCUUUAGGGGUGUAAAGAUCUUUUCUGAGAGAAGAACUCUGACGGUAUCUUAGGAAUAAGCACCGGCUAACUCCGUGCCAGCAGCCGCGGUAAUACGGAGGGUGCAAGCGUUACCCGGAAUCAUUGGGCGUAAAGCGUCCGCAGGCGGUUUGUUAAGUAAGAUGUUAAAUUUUCCAGCUCAACUGGAAAUCUAUGUCUUAAACUGGCAAACUAGAGUAUUACAGAGGUGUGCAGAAUUCUGUGUGUAGGGGUAAAAUCCGUAGAUACACAGAGGAAUACCAAAAGCGAAGGCAGCACACUGGGUAAUUACUGACGCUCAGGGACGAAAGCGUGGGGAGCGAACGGGAUUAGAUACCCCGGUAGUCCACGCCGUAAACGAUGGAUACUAGGUGUUGGGAGACUCGACCCUUCCGGUGCCGAUGCUAACGCAUUAAGUAUCCCGCCUGGGAAGUACGGUCGCAAGAUUAAAACUCAAAGGAAUAGACGGGGACCCACACAAGCGGUGGAGCAUGUGGUUUAAUUCGAUGAUAAGCGAGGAACCUUACCCAGACUUGACAUCCCGAGAAUUUUCCAGAAAUGGAAAAGUGCCGCAAGGAACUCGGUGACAGGUGCUGCAUGGUUGUCGUCAGCUCGUGCCUUGAGGUGUUCGGUUAAGUCCGUGAACGAGCGCAACCCUUGUCUUGUGUUGUAUGUUUCACAAGAGACUGCCGACUUUAAGUCGGAGGAAGGUAAGGAUGACGUCAAAUCAGCAUGGCCCUUAUGUCUGGGGCUACACACGUGCUACAAUGGCCAGUACAGAGGGCAGCAAACCCGCAAGGGGGAGCCAAUCCUUAAAACAUGGUCCAAGUUCG